UUCUUAAUACAAUUUACGUGUGUCGAUGAUUAAUUUUCAACAUCGACACAUGAAAAAAUAGGAAGCCAAUUUGUCACCAACGCUAUAUUAAUAAGACAGUUUGGCGGCAUCAAGGCUCAAGAUACGCCGCCGCGUUAUUAUGUUUCAUCGCAUGAGAUAUAUUCUACGAAAAUAGAUUGUGAUGUAGCUACAAGGGCUCUGCUAUGCCGAGAUAGAAGUAAGACCAAGAAGAAAAAGAAGGAAAUAAACUUACAACAACCCCUAAACUCACAAGUUAAUCCGGAGAUCUAGAAACUUUUUUCAAAAUGGAAGUAGUUGCUAUUGAGGAGAUUGCCCCAAAAAGUGAAACGUACGUAUUUGUUGGAAAACCUACGAGCUGUUCAACCCACGAAGCAGGAUAUAAAACAUCUAAAUUGUUUUCUGAACCAAAUUGGCCUCAUAAAUCUAGACAAUUGCUCUGGCCUGGAACCUGUGCAACAGGAGGGUCGUGCAAAUAGGUCAGGGAUGUAAAGCCGACUAUUCGAAUUAAUAAAUUGCCCACAAUAACGCAAACUGUUCAUUUUGGAUCAAAUUCAAUCUUUCUCUCGAUACACAUUUUAAAAUAAACACAAAGAUCUAA